GAGAUGUUUGUUUAUGGUUAAACUAAUUGAUUGCAAAUCAAAUUAUUAAGAGUUCAAUUCUCUUACAUCUCU
rfam:Hanseniaspora osmophila strain AWRI3579 Hanseniaspora_osmophila_AWRI3579_scaffold288, whole genome shotgun sequence.